rnacentral:lncRNA from 1 species
AUGAAAGAAAAUCUAUUUACCCCUUUUACUACCCCGACAAUUCUAGGCCUACCCGCAGUAGUAUUAAUCAUUUUAUUUCCCACCAAACUACUUCCAACCUCCAGUCAUCUAAUUAGUAACCAACUGAUUUCCAUUCAACGGUGACUAAUUCAACUUGUACUAAAACAAAUAAUAUUACCCAUAACAUUAAAGGACAAACCUGAUCCCUUAUACUGAUCUUCCUAAUUCUCUUCAUUGCCUCAACCAAUCUCCUUGGGCCUCUACCCCAUUAAUUUACACCAACUACCCAAUUAUCAAUAAAUCUAGGUAUAGCAAUCCCCUUAUGAGCAGGUGCAGUAAUUAUAGGCUUCUGCUUUAAGACUAAAACCUCUUUAGCUCACUUUUUACCACAAGGCACACCUAUACCAUUUAUCUCUAUGCUAGUGAUCAUUGAAACUAUUAGCCUAUUCAUUCAACCAAUGGCAUUAGCUGUGCGAUUAACAGCCAGCCUUACAGCCAGACACCUACUAAUGCAUUUAUAUCAGAGGAGCCACACUAGUACUAUCGACUAUCAGUCUUCCCACAGCUUCAAUGGCCUUCUUUAUUCUAAUCCUACUGAGCAUCCUUGAAUUCGCCGUAGCCCUUAUUCAGGCCUAUGUCUUUGCACUACUUGUAAGCCUUUACCUAUACGACAACACGUA